CAGGUUUUGUCCAUUGCCUCUGGUCCUGUCACAGUCCUGUCACUGCAGAGAAGAGUCUGACUUAUUCUUCUUUUCUUCUCACCACAAUUAUCAGGCCCAGGUAAAGGAAUUACCUCUGCUGAUGAAUAGUCUUUUCCAAAGAAAACAGGGACUUCUGUUCACAACUAAGAGGGCCACAAGAACAUCUGGGUCCUGUCAUCUAGAUUGCAAGGGCUAUUCUGGCCCACACUGAAUAGUUUCCAUGCAAGAACAGUAUAGAGGAGGACAGCAGUAGCUCUGCUCCAUGAACUGUCCAGACAGCAGAGAAAGGACCAUCAGCAAAAUUAUUUCUGAAGAAAACCAGUUGGUAACCUAACAUGAAAAAUGCUAUUUCACUGUUAGAUGCCUAUGGGACCUUGACUUGUGUGCACACAUAUUGUGUGCAGAGAUAACAUUUCAAAUGUCUUUAAGGUUUUAAGAUCUCCAUCAUGUCCACUUCUCCGCACCAGUCUAACCUUCCAUUCAGCUAUUCUGUUUCCAGUCUUGAAGCUGUUCAAGUCAUGAGGCAGAUCUGGAUGUAAAAUAGGCUCCCCCUGGGCAUUUUCUGGGGAAAUGAGGUAGGAGACUCAGUUAAGUAUUUCUCAUCUUAAAGACCAAAGGGCCUGGCCAGAUGAGGCAAAGAAGUGAAAAGGAAAGAGAGGAGGAUGACCAUUCAUGCUCCUGGAACCAUUCCAGAGAGACAGAACAUAAGAUAUAUUUAGUAACCUUGCUGUUGAAAUGAAAUCUUGUGUAACUUCACCUUAGCUGCAAUAGCUAGCAUGUGUGUAAUUAUAUAAAGUAAAAAUGACCUACUUUUUAAUUAUAAAGAAAUGUAUUCAGUAACCUCUAAAAUAUAAAAAGGAAAACUUUAAAAUAUAUUUCCCAAAUAGCUAAAAUCUUCAUUACACAGCAUUUCCUUAUACACUAAAAGUAUUGCCAUUUAAAGAGGAAUUUAUCAGGUAUUAGGCAUUGGCUGUACUGGCCAAGUACACAGUGCAGUGCUAAAUAAUCACAUUCCCAGGUGAAAUUUAGCACCAUUUACUAUUUUUAGGCAGUCAAAUUACAUCACUGUGUACCCACGAUCUUGAGAGUCACCAUAAGGCAACAUUUCAACAAUCAAGACAUGUUUGAUAAAAGAAGAAAAUCAGUAAUUUUUAAUGAAAAAAUUAUUUUCCAUGGAUAAAUCAAGACACAAAUUACUGCUAUAAGGCUUCAUAUAAACUAUAUAGAAGAAAUCUCAGUUGCUUAUAAUAAUUAGAGAAUUAAAAAAAAAUAGGUCACAGAAAUAAUCCUAGGAUAAACUGCCUUAAUAAAGUGCUUAAAAUUUUCUCUCUCUUGCUAAAGAAAAAAAAAAAAGCUUCAGAGAAAGGCUGUGUAUACACAUAAAUGAAUGGUAUGUUGCCAUGCAUUUAUGUCCCUGAACUGUGAUGGAAACCAACAAUGCUUAAUUUACUAAUAUCUUCCCAUCCUUUAAAUGUAUAAUAUUGACAAGAAACAAAGCCAACAAAUUUAUUAUUUUCCAUAAAAAUCACUCUACUCAUGAGUUUUGUGUGUGUUUGUGAGAGAGAGAAUGAUGCUGAAGACAUUUUACUUUUAAAAUGUUUUCAUAAACUCCAGUGUAAAAUUCAUUUGUAAAGAAUUGCCUUUUGUAAAGUAUCAGUGAAACUGGGGCAAGAUUCUUUUUCUUGCACAUACUUAAUCAAGUAAUACAUACAAAAGUAAAGCCCUGGGAAUGGUGUCUUAAAAUGUUGCCAGAUUAAGGGCUUAUAACUUACUUUUGCAAAUUAAUUUGCUUUUAACACUGUUGAAGUGUACAGUUAUUUUAGAACGUUCUUACUACUCAAUGCUUUUUAACUUUUGUUAGACUCAAGCCUUCAAUAAAUUUAAGGUGUAACCAGCAGUUCUGUUGCUUUUUUUGAUCUCAGAGGUCUGAUUAAGGGAUUCUGUCUUCAAUUGACUCAUGGAACAAAUAAAUGAA